AUUCAAGGGUGUGGCGCGAGCGACUUCGGUCGCGAAGCAAUUGGAAGUGGUUCCAAGAAAAGCCUCUAAGCUUCAGUCUAACGAUGACCGUACCGCAAACCGACACAGGUGGGCGAGAUGAGUAUUCUAAGGCGCUUGAGAGAACUCGGGAGAAGGAACUCGGCAAAUUGGUACCGUAACUUCGGGAUAAGGUACGCCCUUGUAGCUUGACUGGCCUGCGCCAGAAGGGUGAAGGGGUUGCAAUAAACUGGUGGCUGCGACUGUUUAAUAAAAACACAGCACUCUGCAAACACGAAAGUGGACGUAUAGGGUGUGACGCCUGCCCGGUGCCGGAAGAUUAAAUGAUGGGGUGCAAGCUCUUGAUUGAAGUCCCGGUAAACGGCGGCCGUAACUAUAACGGUCCUAAGGUAGCGAAAUUCCUUGUCGGGUAAGUUCCGACCUGCACGAAU
rnacentral:rRNA from 1 species